AUGAGUUCCGAAUGGGAUUUCUAUGUUGUCUCAUGUGUAAGGCCCGGAGGAGGCAUCAGCCUCGUCUGCAAGGCCUCAGGGUUCACCUUCAGCAAUAAUGGCAUGAUGUGGGUGCGACAGGCACCAGGAAAGGGGCUGGAAUGGGUCGCUGGUAUUAGCGAUGAUGGUGGAUACACAGGCUACGGGUCGGCAGUGAAGGGCCGUGCCGCCAUCACAAGGGACAACGGGCAGAGCACAGUGAGGCUACAGCUGGACAGUCUGAAGGACAAGGACUCGGCCAUAUAUUACUGUGCCAGGGAUGCUUAUGGUUAUGCUGAUGGUGCCUAUAGGAUCGACGUCACUGCUGGAUUUAAUGGUAUCCCACAUUGCCCAGACUGGGAGCUCAGAGCUCAGGUGGCGUCCAUGUAA